rnacentral:tRNA from 1 species
GGGCGAUUAGCUCAGUUUGGUUAGAGCGCAGCUUUCACACGGCUGAGGUCACUGGUUCGAGCCCAGCAUCGCCCA